UUCCGGUUGAUCCUGCCGGACCUGACUGCUAUCGGAUUGAUACUAAGCCAUGCGAGUCAUUGUAGCAAUACAAGGCAUACGGCUCAGUAACGCGUAGUCAACCUAACCUAUGGACGGGAAUAACCUCGGGAAACUGAGAAUAAUGCCCGAUAGAACAUUAUACCUGGAAUGGUUUAUGUUCCAAAUGAUUUAUCGCCGUAGGAUGGGACUGCGGCCUAUCAGUUUGUUGGUGAGGUAAUGGCCCACCAAGACUAUUACAGGUACGGGCUCUGAGAGGAGUAGCCCGGAGAUGGGUACUGAGACACGGACCCAGGCCCUAUGGGGCGCAGCAGGCGGGAAAACUUUGCAAUGUGCGAAAGCACGACAAGGUUAAUCCGAGUGGUUUCUGCUAAAGAAACCUUUUGUCAGUCCUAGAAACACUGAUGAAUAAGGGGUGGGCAAGUUCUGGUGUCAGCCGCCGCGGUAAAACCAGCACCUCAAGUGGUCAGGAUGAUUAUUGGGCCUAAAGCAUCCGUAGCCGGCUCUGUAAGUUUUCGGUUAAAUCUGUACGCUCAACGUACAGGCUGCCGGGAAUACUGCAGAGCUAGGGAGUGGGAGAGGUAGACGGUACUCGGUAGGAAGGGGUAAAAUCCUUUGAUCUAUUGAUGACCACCUGUGGCGAAGGCGGUCUACCAGAACACGUCCGACGGUGAGGGGUGAAAGCUGGGGGAGCAAACCGGAUUAGAUACCCGGGUAGUCCCAGCUGUAAACUAUGCAAACUCAGUGAUGCAUUGGCUUGUGGCCAAUGCAGUGCUGCAGGGAAGCCGUUAAGUUUGCCGCCU
rnacentral:rRNA from 1 species